UACGUAGGGGCUAGCGUUAUCCGGAUUUACUGGGCGUAAAGGGAGCGCAGGCGGUGACUUAAGUCUGAUGUGAAAGCCCACGGCUCAACCGUGGAAGGUCAUUGGAAACUGGGUCACUUGAAUAUAGAAGAGGAAAGUGGAAUUCCAUGUGUAGCGGUGAAAUGCGUAGAUAUAUGGAGGAACACCAGUGGCGAAGGCGACUUUCUGGUCUAUUAUUGACGCUGAGGCUCGAAAGCAUGGGUAGCAAACAGGAUUAGAUACCCCGGUAGU
rnacentral:rRNA from 1 species